rnacentral:sRNA from 1 species
CCGUCCGCCAUGGGAGACGGCGUGUCCGCUCCGGCGGAUGGCGGUUACGCUGACGACGUGCGCCUCCCCCCGAGGCGCAAAGCCGACAGCCGUCGCAUCCCAGGGAGUACUCCAUG